UCUUGUUCUCGUAGACGUCGUGGAGCUUGAGGACGUGCGGGUGUUCGAUAAGCUUCAGGAUGGCAAUCUCCCGUUCCACCUGAGGGCCAAGAGGGGCAGGGACAUGGGAACAGAGUGUUUUGGAGACCCUAUGACUCCCGACUAUAAUCUCACAUUUGCUCCUCCACCUCCUCCCGACUCUGCAGCCCCAACUGCCUUCCUGGGUGUUCUCUUGGUGGCAGCCAUAACAGACAGGACGCAGACCCCAAAGGAAGGUGGCCGAGGCCGGAGGCCAGCGCUUAGCAACAGCAGAGGAUGAGCGCCCUUUCCACAGCCGCUCCAGGAGACUCGCCUGCAGCAGCCCACCUUCCCACCCGCUCCUGUUUCCCACUCUGAGCCAGCACACCACAGAGGGGGACAGCAUCCUAGGCCCCACAGCCCCGUCACCCCAACUCGAUGCUUGGAGAGCAGGAGGCCAGAGGACAGUGGAGAGGGAAGAGGCUUCCCAGGACACAGGCACUCCACCCCAGUCUGCAGCCGUACUGCAGCAAGAGCCUCAGCUCCCAGCCGGCCCCACUCCGCAGGCCGCCUCCUUCCCCUCCCCUGCCCUGGAGCCCCUCCAGCCACUGUCCCUAUGAGAGCUGGAACAUUGGGGCCCCAAACUCCCUGUCCCAACACUCGGGGUUCCGACCACCCUCAUCCCUCAGACCCAAGAGUUCAGGCUCCCAGCCCCUCCUCCUUCAGACCUAGGAGUCCAGACCACCAAACCCUCCUCUCUCAGACCCAGAGUCCAGAUCCCUGCCCUUCCUACCUCAGACCCAGGAGUCCAGGACCCCAGUCCCCCCUCCCUCAGACCCGGGAGUCCAGGACCCCAGUCCCUCCUCCCUCAGACCCGGGAGUCCAGGACCCCAGCCCCUCCUCCCUCAGACCCGGGAGUCCAGGACCCCAGCCCUCCUCCCUCAGACCCGGGAGUCCAGGACCCCAGCCCUCCUCCCUCAGACCGGGGAGUCCAGGACCCCACCUCCAGCUCCCUCAGACCCAGGAGUGCAGGCCCCCAGCCCCUCCUCCCUCAGACCACCCAGCAGUGCAGGCCCCCAGCCCCUCCUCCCUCAGACCCGGAGUCCAGGCCCCCAGCCCCUCCUCUCUCAGACUCAGGAGUGCAGGCCCCCAGCCCCUCCUCCCUCAGACCCAGGAGUGCAGGCCCCCAGCCCCUCCUCCCUCAGACCCAGGAGUCCAGGUCCCCAGCUCCUCUACUCCAGGACCUCAGAGUCUGUGCCCCCCACCCCCUCCACCCUGGGUCUCAGGGGUCUGAAUUCCAAGUCCCUUCUCUAUGAAGGGCCCAGGGGUCUGGGCAGCCAGCCCCUGCCCUUUCAAUACCCUGAAUCCCUACUGUGCCCCCACCUCCACCCUGCUCCUGCCCCAGGUAUCCCCUUCUGCUAGGCUCACCUGUCUGUCCUUUGCCCAGCGUCUUCUCCAGCCGAUAGGGGCCCACAUAUUGGGCAUGCUGGGGUGGGUGAGGGUGGGGGUGGGGGAGGUGGUAGGCAGGAGAGCCCCCGCCUCCCUCCUUGGCCCCGGACGACAUGGUGCCCUUGGUCCCGGCCCGACCGGUUCCCCGGCCGCCCCCCCUGCGGCCGGUCGCCCCGUCUCUCCGGUGGGGGCCGGCGACCGCUCCGUCCCGGCCCCCCCGGCUGCCCCCCACGUCUCCGGGGGUCCCCAGGGGGCUGGGCUGGCCCCCCCCAGUCGGCGGGCCGCGGAGCUGGGGGAGGGGGGGCUGGCCCGGGGGGUCAGGCCCCGGGAGUCAGCAUGGCCCGGGGGGGCUGCGGGGCCCCCCCUCCCCAGCCCGUUUCUGGCCGGCCCCCCGCUUCCUGCGCCUCCCCCCGCCGGGGGGGUCUGAGGUGCGGGCCAGCGGAUGCUGCAGGCCGAGGUCCCCCCCGCCCCCCCCACGCGCCCUCUCUCCUCCGCCUCCUCCUCCUCUCCGCCUCCCCCCGCCACCUCGUCCUUUCUCUCCGGCACGCUGACAUCACCAUCCGGGGACUCCGGGCCCUUCCCCAAAGUUAACCCUUUCGGAGGGGGAGGGGGAGCGCGGGGGGGGGGAGGGGGCGGGCCUCUAUUUGGAGGGAUGGAGAUGAGGUGGGAGGAUGCAGGAGAGAGGAUGGAGGGAAGGAUGGGGAGGGAGGAGAGAGAGAGAGAGAGAGGAGAGAGAGAGAGGACCCAACAGAUGGGGCAGAGAUGGAGAUACACAAAGAGAGAUGCUGGCUGACACUGGCAGAGACGCGGGAGGGAUGGAGACCACCAGAGACAGGCUGAGGCAGAGAGGGAGGGCAGAGAUGGGCAGGGACAGAAGAGAAGGAAGGAAUGGCAAGCCGGGCAGACAGACGGAGAGGGAGAGAGAGCUGCUGGAAGCCGACAGAGGGCUGGAGACUCAGAGACUCGGAGAGACAGAGAGAGGAAGGCCAGCCAGAGAGGAGCUUCCCUCUGUUGCCCAGGCUGGAGUGCCAUGGGACAAUUAUAGCUUCCUGCAGCCUCGACCUUCUUGGCUCAAGUGACCCCCCUGCUGCAGCCUCCCACGCAGCUGUGACUAUAGGAAAAUGCCAUCACACAU